rnacentral:rRNA from 1 species
UACGAAGGGGGCUAGCGUUGUUCGGAAUCACUGGGCGUAAAGGGCGCGUAGGCGGCUUUAUAAGUCGGGGGUGAAAGCCUGUGGCUCAACCACAGAAUUGCCUUCGAUACUGUAGAGCUUGAGACCGGAAGAAGUAAGUGGAACUGCGAGUGUAGAGGUGAAAUUCGUAGAUAUUCGCAAGAACACCAGUGGCGAAGGCGGCUUACUGGUCCGGUUCUGACGCUGAGGCGCGAAAGCGUGGGGAGCAAACAGG